GACGAACGCUGGCGGCGUGCCUAAUACAUGCAAGUAGAACGCUGAAGAGAGGAGCUUGCUCUUCUUGGAUGAGUUGCGAACGGGUGAGUAACGCGUAGGUAACCUGCCUUGUAGCGGGGGAUAACUAUUGGAAACGAUAGCUAAUACCGCAUAACAAUGGAUGACACAUGUCAUUUAUUUGAAAGGGGCAAUUGCUCCACUACAAGAUGGACCUGCGUUGUAUUAGCUAGUAGGUGAGGUAACGGCUCACCUAGGCGACGAUACAUAGCCGACCUGAGAGGGUGAUCGGCCACACUGGGACUGAGACACGGCCCAGACUCCUACGGGAGGCAGCAGUAGGGAAUCUUCGGCAAUGGGGGCAACCCUGACCGAGCAACGCCGCGUGAGUGAAGAAGGUUUUCGGAUCGUAAAGCUCUGUUGUAAGUCAAGAACGAGUGUGAGAGUGGAAAGUUCACACUGUGACGGUAGCUUACCAGAAAGGGACGGCUAACUACGUGCCAGCAGCCGCGGUAAUACGUAGGUCCCGAGCGUUGUCCGGAUUUAUUGGGCGUAAAGCGAGCGCAGGCGGUUUGAUAAGUCUGAAGUUAAAGGCUGUGGCUCAACCAUAGUUCGCUUUGGAAACUGUCAAACUUGAGUGCAGAAGGGGAGAGUGGAAUUCCAUGUGUAGCGGUGAAAUGCGUAGAUAUAUGGAGGAACACCGGUGGCGAAAGCGGCUCUCUGGUCUGUAACUGACGCUGAGGCUCGAAAGCGUGGGGAGCGAACAGGAUUAGAUACCCUGGUAGUCCACGCCGUAAACGAUGAGUGCUAGGUGUUGGAUCCUUUCCGGGAUUCAGUGCCGCAGCUAACGCAUUAAGCACUCCGCCUGGGGAGUACGACCGCAAGGUUGAAACUCAAAGGAAUUGACGGGGGCCCGCACAAGCGGUGGAGCAUGUGGUUUAAUUCGAAGCAACGCGAAGAACCUUACCAGGUCUUGACAUCCCGAUGCUAUUUCUAGAGAUAGAAAGUUACUUCGGUACAUCGGUGACAGGUGGUGCAUGGUUGUCGUCAGCUCGUGUCGUGAGAUGUUGGGUUAAGUCCCGCAACGAGCGCAACCCCUAUUGUUAGUUGCCAUCAUUCAGUUGGGCACUCUAGCGAGACUGCCGGUAAUAAACCGGAGGAAGGUGGGGAUGACGUCAAAUCAUCAUGCCCCUUAUGACCUGGGCUACACACGUGCUACAAUGGUUGGUACAACGAGUUGCGAGUCGGUGACGGCAAGCUAAUCUCUUAAAGCCAAUCUCAGUUCGGAUUGUAGGCUGCAACUCGCCUACAUGAAGUCGGAAUCGCUAGUAAUCGCGGAUCAGCACGCCGCGGUGAAUACGUUCCCGGGCCUUGUACACACCGCCCGUCACACCACGAGAGUUUGUAACACCCGAAGUCGGUGAGGUAACCUUUUGGAGCCAGCCGCCUAAGGUGGGAUAGAUGAUUGGGGUGAAGUCGUAACAAGGUAGCCGUAUCGGAAGGUGCGGCUGGAUCACCUCCUUUCU
rnacentral:rRNA from 1 species